UCCCCUACAUAGUCCAACUGUGCCAGGGGCGUAGAAUGGGCCUCACUGGUCUUUCUCUUACAUAACAUAACAUAACAUAACAUAAUCCAACUGUGCCAGGGGCGUAGAAUGGGCCUCACUGGUCUUCUGUACCGUAUCAUCAAAAUCAUAGCAUAGGAGGACUAAAGGAUCAUUCAACAUUCAUCCACAUCAUCAAACAUAUUAUACAAUGCAACAU
rnacentral:lncRNA from 1 species